UCUAUCCCUCUAGAUUGUUUUCACCAUUCGGUUGCAAAGGAGAUCCCAGGAGAUGUAUUUGCUAUUGAAUGUGCAGAAAUAAUUCAUGACAUCUGUUGGUAUUCUUUGAAGCAAUAUCAUUCCAAAUUAAUGAGGAUCACUUUUUGUAAUCUAUCUUCCAUCAAGUUUGAAGACCUGGAUUCUUGGCUGAUGGUAGCCUUUGUACUCUCGAGAGGUUCCUGUAGUUUUUCAAAAGGUCAUAUUCUCUAUUUCAAGUUAUUUUCCAUGACAGUUUUCACUUAAUUGGUUCAAUACUAUUCAGGGUUGUCAAUAGCGCGCUAUAGCGCUGUAGCGCUGCGUAGUGGCCGUUGGCCGCUCCUAGUUGUUACAUAGUGGUGCAGUUCAGUGUAGCGGCUGUUGCGGCUGCUAAAGCGAAGGAAAUAGCAGCAAUAGCGGCUCUAUUUGGUCGCUAUUUGCUGGAACUGGUAAAAUCCCAAAAAUAACCUACUAAAAGUUCAUGUUAGGGCAUUUUGGGGAGGUAUUUCAAGGUUUUUGCUUCGGAAACAUACUAAAAAUAGUCAAGUUUGAGGAUGAGGAGGAAGUCAUAUAGAACUUUCCAGUUUUUGGACACUUCAUUUAAUGUAUUUUGAGUAUGAGUGCCAUGAAUUUUGAGUAUUUUUACCAUUUAUAUGUAUAUUGUUAUAUUGUAUAAACUAUACAAGAAAAGACAGUAUAGCAGUCAUCCCGCUAUGCGCUAUACCCGCAAUAGCAUUUUUGUGGUCAGUCACUACGCGCUGCUAUCCGAGAUUGACAACACUGCAAUGAACCUACCAUUUUUUCCAUGUUUCUACUUAAUUUGCUCUUGCUUUUUCCACUGCCUUACUCAGUAAGUCUUUUAAUUAUUGUUGUAUUAAUUGGCUAGGAAACAGAGAUUGAAAAUUUGUCACUCCUUUCUGAAAGCAUAGAUCAAAGGAAAUUCAUAAAACUUUCAUGGACUCUUAUCCAGCAUGAAUUAGACUUCCUGGAUUUUUAUUUGUCAUGACUAAAGAGGCCUCCCAUUGGUUAGAAAGACGUGGUGUUUUCCUACGUGGUGUUUGAUCAAAUUAUAUGCUUCUUGCUGUUGGAAGGGUCAGUUCAAGUAUGGAUCUAAUUGCUCAAAGCUUAGAAAAUCUGCACGACUCAAGACAUGAGAAGCCACCUUAUAGACCUGCUUUUUGCUCAGAAAAAAUGGAACCUUUGGCAAGACUCACAGCUCAAAAAGGCAGUAGGAAUCCAGUUAUUCCUUCUUUACCGCAAGGCAUGGAUGCUGAAUUGGGAGAAAGGGUUGAACCAGAAAGGGUGUGGGAGUAAGGAAAGUAAAUGAAGUGGAGAAGAUAUUAUUCAGCACUUAAUACAGUGGCAAGACCAAUCAAUGGAAGAAGCUACUUGGGAAGAUGAUUUCACUUUGAGGAGCCAAGGCCAAUCAAUGGAAGAAGCUACUUUGGAAGAAGCUACUUGGGAAGAUGAUUUCACUUAUAGAUACACCAGUCGUCACAUUAAGUUCUCUACUCGGGAGAACAAUGAUUCAUCAGUACCAUCUGUAAAGCCACUGUAGGAGAUGCAUGAGGCUGGCAUUGUAGCAUAAUGUUUGAACGAGACAACAAUGACUGCCAUAUCGUCGUGUCUGCCUCCUCUCCUAGUGGCUUCCUCCAUCGCAGUACAGAGGAGCAUGUGUGCAACUCCCUGGAUUGAAAAAAAUAAAUUAGAUAUUCAUGUUUAAAGUUUAGAAUGGAAAAGCCCAGAAAAAGAGAUGAAAGAUUCAAUAGGAUUACCUCUGCAGAUGGCACUGAACCGACAACAUCCAGCAGUUGUUGGUUGCUGAUGAGGGUCCAGAAGGUGGGAGAAGCCAGAACAAGGGCUUUAUGCCUUGUUCCAAAUGCCCUCCUUUGCAAGGAUGGUACAGCAGCUGCAAUUAGACAAUUUGGUUGGGCUGGCCCAUUCAACAUAGUAGCCUGUAAAGACAAAUCAUAAGAUAUUUGAACAAAAUAGACAUUAGCCUUAAAUAUAUAUAUAUAUAUAUAUAUAUUGAACUGUCUUUUGGAAUAUUAAUCAUUCAUGUGGUCAAUUAACUGUGCAUUUAUACCUGAAGGACACCUCUACUUGUGACCAUGUGAGCAUCAGAAAAAACCAUUUCAUUAUGGUUUGAAGCCCAUAUAAGCAUUCCUAUCCCUCCCAAAGUCCAUGAGUAUAAGGUACCCUUCCAUAUGAGGGCUGCAGUGCAGGAAGAAUCUGGUAGUUCUAGUAUCGGGGUCUCCGGCAGAAUCAUGCGUAGAUGUGCACUCAGCUGACUAGCAGUGCAGGCAAUUGCUGCCUUGACCCCUUCCUGAGACAAUUGAAUACCAGUGGCAAUAUAGUCUGCAAAUGACAAUAAUAUCAAAAAGGCAGUAGGAAGCAAUCCAGUUAUUCCUUUUUUUAUCGCAAGGCAUGGAUGCUGAAUUGAGAGAAAGGGUUGAACCAGAAAGAGUGUGGGAAUAAGGAAAGUAAAUGACAUAAAGACGAUAUUAUUCAGCACUUAAUACAGUGGCAAGGCCAAUCAAUGGAAGAAAACUUGGGAAGAUGAUUUCACUUUGAAUAGCCAAGGCCAAUCAAUGGAAGAAGCUACUUUGGAAGAAGCUACUUGGGAAGAUGAUUUCACUUAUAGGUGUGAGAUUUCACCAGCUUACUCAUGAUCCUUCACUAAAUACUAGUUCCUUGAUACUAUGUUAGUAAAAAGUUUGCAUUACAACCAACAAUAGCAGUAUAUAAAGAGUACAGCUUAGGAUUGUAACUAAAAAUUGGGUAACUAAAGCCCUAUAUUAACAGACUUGUUACUGCUUACGGUUGUGCAAUCAGUCAAGGAAUCCAUUGUAGAAGCAAGGGACAGGGGUGUGGGUUGUUACCAGUGGCUUUUUUUGGUUCGUUUGGCAAGCAUUUUGAUAGGGCUUGCGGGUUGUUAUCAGCAGUGUUAGGGGGUUAUGCUUUUUCAUUAGCUUAGCUUCCAUUUUUGUUGGGCUGGUGUUGCUUUUUCACUGCACUAUACAGUAUUUUGCAGGUUUAGGUAUGUAAUUUGAUUUCAUAUGUUUAUGUACUCUUGGGUGAAGCACCCCUUCUGGCUUGUUCAAAAAAAAAAAUGAAAUAACUACUCGAUGAACAAA